rnacentral:tRNA from 1 species
UUACUUAAAUAGCUUAAUUAGAGCAUAAUAUUGAAGAUAUUAAGGUAAUUUUAAAAUUUUUAAGU